rnacentral:lncRNA from 1 species
UUACUUCCAGGUCAUUUUCCUACUGUUCAGUAAAUAAAUGGUCUCUUAUAUGUUCUUUAGUUAUAACUAAUGCUUUCAUAUCCAGGCAACUGCCAGGAAGCGCUCAAGGCGAUACAUGCUUGAUACUGAUGAGUAUUCAUGUCUUUGUCGUGCCCUAUGUUUCAAUUUCGCACAACCCUAUAAAAGCAUGUGUUGAUGCAAAAGAGUUGUUCUAUUGUGGAUUGAAGACAAAUGUAGGAUGUUACUGGGAAAUUGCAGACUGAACAAGGUAAGGUGAUAAUUUUCUAUUUGCAGCAGAUUUUCAUUAUUUCACUCUUUCCCGAAAUUACUACAUACAAGCGGUUGUUGAGAAGCUUUCCAAAUGUGAGUGCCUUUUUUAUGUCUUGUUACGUGUUACCGAUCUCAGCUUGUUACAAUUGCUUAUGAAUCUCUGAUAUCUUUCUGAAUCUAGGCACAAACUUAC